rnacentral:rRNA from 1 species
AAUAGAUACCCGGGUAGUCCACGCGGUAAACGAUGUGUACUGGGUAUGGCGGGAGUUGACCCCUGCCGUGCCGGCGCUAACGCAGUAAGUACACCGCCUGGGGAGUACGGCCGCAAGGCUAAAACUCAAAGGAAUUGACGGGGCCCCGCACAAGCAGCGGAGCGUGUGGUUUAAUUCGACGCAACGCGCAAAACCUUACCAGGGUUUGACGUCUCCGGAAGCUGGCUGAAAGGCUGGCGUGCCCGUAAGGGAGCCGGAAGGCAGGUGUUGCAUGGCUGUCGUCAGCUCGUGUCGUGAGAUGUUGGGUUAAGUCCCGCAACGGGCGCAACCCCUGUCGCCAGUUACGAGGGUGUCUGGCGAGACUGCCGGGAGCAAACCGGAGGAAGGUGGGGAUGAUGUCAAGUCAGCAUGACCCUUACACCCUGGGGCGACACACACGCUACAAUGGCCGGGACAGAGGGCAGCCAAGCGGUAACGCGGAGCCAAUCCCACAAACCCGGCCUCAGUUCAGAUCGUGGCUGCAACUCGCCCACGUGAAGGCGGAGUUGC